rnacentral:rRNA from 1 species
CCAAUAGCGUAUAUUAAAGUUGUUGCAGUUAAAAAGCUCGUAGUUGAAUUUCGAGAUCGGUUUAUUAGUCGUGCUUUUGUACGUACUGGUAUUACCGGUUUCUCCUUUCUGACGAACCUUAAUGCCAUUAAUUUGGUGUUUUGGGAAAUCAGGACUGUUACUUUGAAAAAAUUAGAGUGUUUAAAGCAGGCUCACGCUUGAAUACAUUAGCAUGGAAUAACGGAAUAGGACGUUUGAUUCUAUUUUGUUGGUUUCUAGGAUCGACGUAAUGAUUAAUAGGGAUAGUUGGGGGCAUUAGUAUUCAAUUGUCAGAGGUGAAAUUCUUGGAUUUAUUGAAGACUAACUACUGCGAAAGCAUUUGCCAAGGAUGUUUUCAUUAAUCAAGAACGAAAGUUAGGGGAUCGAAGACGAUCAGAUACCGUCGUAGUCUUAACCAUAAACUAUGCCGACUAGGGAUCGGAUGAUGUUAAUUUUUUAAUGACUCAUUCGGCGCCUUACG